rnacentral:rRNA from 1 species
GACGAACGCUGGCGGCGUGCCUAAUACAUGCAAGUUGAGCGCUGAAGGUUGGUACUUGUACCAACUGGAUGAGCAGCGAACGGGUGAGUAACGCGUGGGGAAUCUGCCUUUGAGCGGGGGACAACAUUUGGAAACGAAUGCUAAUACCGCAUAAAAACUUUAAACACAAGUUUUAAGUUUGAAAGAUGCAAUUGCAUCACUCAAAGAUGAUCCCGCGUUGUAUUAGCUAGUUGGUGAGGUAAAGGCUCACCAAGGCGAUGAUACAUAGCCGACCUGAGAGGGGGAUCGGCCACAUUGGGACUGAGACACGGCCCAACCGCCUACGGGAGGCAGCAGGAGGGGAUCUUCGGCAAUGGACGAAAGUCUGACCGAGCAACGCCGCGUGAGUGAAGAAGGUUUUCGGAUCGUAAAACUCUGUUGGUAGAGAAGAACGUUGGUGAGAGUGGAAAGCUCAUCAAGUGACGGUAACUACCCAGAAAGGGACGGCUAACUACGUG